UCAGAACUUAGAUUUGCCUCAGGAAGAAUUAGAUUAUCCUUUGAGCAUAGAGAUUGCAAAUAGGGAAGUGAUUCCUGUUAGGUUAAUAUAUAAGAAUUAUAGAGUGGUUAUAAAGGGUCAAGAGAUGAUGGUAGACUUGAUACCAAUUAGACUGGGUGAGUUUGAUGUUAUCCUGGGAAUGGAUUAGUUAUUCAAUCAUGGAGAAG
rnacentral:lncRNA from 1 species